UUAAUUGAAGAGUUUGAUCAUGGCUCAGAUUGAACGCUGGCGGCAGGCCUAACACAUGCAAGUCGAGCGGUAACAGAUUGAUAGCUUGCUAUCAAUGCUGACGAGCGGCGGACGGGUGAGUAAUGCCUGGGAAUAUACCCUGAUGUGGGGGAUAACUAUUGGAAACGAUAGCUAAUACCGCAUAAUCUCUUCGGAGCAAAGAGGGGGACCUUCGGGCCUCUCGCGUCAGGAUUAGCCCAGGUGG
rnacentral:rRNA from 1 species